rnacentral:rRNA from 1 species
GAUGAAUGCUAGCUACAGGCUUAACACAUGCAAGUCGAGGGGAAACGAUAUUGGAAGCUUGCUUCCGAUAGGCGUCGACCGGCGCACGGGUGAGUAACGCGUAUCCAACCUGCCCAUCACUUGGGGAUAACCUUGCGAAAGUAAGACUAAUACCCAAUGAUAUCUCUAGAAGACAUCUGAAAGGGAUUAAAGAUUUAUCGGUGAUGGAUGGGGAUGCGUCUGAUUAGCUUGUUGGCGGGGGAACGGCCCACCACGGCGACGAUCAGUAGGGGUUCUGAGAGGAAGGUCCCCCACAUUGUAACUGAGACACGGUCCAAACUCCUACGGGAGGCAGCAGUGAGGAAUAUUGGUCAAUGGACGAGAGUCUGACCCAGCCAAGUAGCGUGCAGGAUGACGGCCCUAUGGGUUGUAAACUGCUUUUAUAAGGGAAUAAAGUGAGCCUCGUGAGGCUUUUUGCAUGUACCUUAUGAAUAAGGACCGGCUAAUUCCGUGUCAGCAGCCGCCGUAA